rnacentral:rRNA from 1 species
UACGUAGGCAGCAAGCGUUGUUCGGAAUUACUGGGCGUAAAGAGUUCGUAGGCGGUGUGCCAAGUUUGGUGUGAAAUCUCCCGGCUCAACUGGGAGGGUGCGCCGAAUACUGGCAUGCUCGAGUACAGGAGAGGAAAGCGGAAUUUCUGGUGUAGCGGUGAAAUGCGUAGAUAUCAGAAGGAACACCUGUGGUGUAGACGGCUUUCUGGAUUGUAACUGACGCUGAGGAACGAAAGCGUGGGUAGCAAACAGG